ACAUAACUGAUGCCUCCGCGUAUCGACUUUGUGCGCAUUUUAGCUAUUAUGUGUUCUUUUAAUUAAAAUGAUUCUUUUUAAGAUUCAUCUAUUAAAAAUUUGCUUCGGCAUAAUUUUUUUUGAUGAUCUUGUUACUUUGAGUAAAUUAGAGUGUUCAAAGCAAACAGAUAUAGCAUUUGUGCGUUUGAAUACUACAGCAUGGAAUAACAAAAUUGAACAAGUCAGAAUUUUUUUGUUCUUUUUUCUUAUUUUGGCUUAGUUACGAUUAAUAGGAGUAGCUUGGGGGCAUUUGUAUUCAGAUGUCAGAGGUGAAAUUCUUAGAUUUUCUGGAGACAAACAACUGCGAAAGCAUUUGCCUAAAAUACUUCCAUUAAUCAAGAACGAAAGUUAAGGGAGUGAAGACGAUCAGAUACCGUCGUAAUCUUAACCAUAAACUAUGCCGACUAGGCUUUGGAUGAAAGAUUUUAAAAUAAGAGUUUUUCUUUUCUCUCCGGAGAUUAGAACUCUUAGAUUGCUUCCUUCAGUGCCUUAUGAGAAAUCAAAGUCUUUGGGUUCUGGGGCGAGUAUUCGCGCAAGCGAGAAAGUUAAAAGAAUUGACGGAAGGGCACCACCAGGCGUGGAGCUUGCGGCUUAAUUUGACUCAACACGGGAAAACUCACUAGUUUAAGACAAGAGUAGGAUUGACAGAUUAAUAGCUCUUUCUUGAUUUCUUGGAUGGUGAUGCAUGGCCGUUUUUAGUUCGUGAAUAUGAUUUGUCUGGUUAAUUCCGAUAACGAACGAGAUCUUAACCUGCUAAUUAGCGGCAAAUACGAUAUAUUCUUAUGUAGAAUUGAAUAUAGUGGAUUUGUUGGAUUUUGAAGAAAAUAUUGGAAUUACGUUAAAUGGGAUUCCUUUCCCUUUUCUACUAAAUUUACAUUUCCAUCUAUUUCUUUUUUGCGUAUGAAUGUAUUUGCUUGAUUGUAAAGCUUCUUAGAGGAACGAUGUGUG
rnacentral:rRNA from 1 species